GACGAACGCUGGCGGCGUGCCUAAUACAUGCAAGUCGAGCGGAAUGAUGAAGAAGCUUGCUUCUUCUGAUUUUAGCGGCGGACGGGUGAGUAACACGUGGGCAACCUACCUUGUAGAUUGGGAUAACUCCGGGAAACCGGGGCUAAUACCGAAUAAUCCAUUUUGCUUCGUGGCGAGAUGUUGAAAGACGGUUUCGGCUGUCACUAUAAGAUGGGCCCGCGGCGCAUUAGCUAGUUGGUAGGGUAAUGGCCUACCAAGGCGACGAUGCGUAGCCGACCUGAGAGGGUGAUCGGCCACACUGGGACUGAGACACGGCCCAGACUCCUACGGGAGGCAGCAGUAGGGAAUCUUCCACAAUGGACGAAAGUCUGAUGGAGCAACGCCGCGUGAGUGAAGAAGGUUUUCGGAUCGUAAAACUGUGUUGUAAGGGAAGAACACGUACGAGAGUAACUGCUCGUACCUUGACGGUACCUUAUUAGAAAGCCACGGCUAACUACGUG
rnacentral:rRNA from 1 species